rnacentral:rRNA from 1 species
UACGUAGGUGGCGAGCGUUGUCCGGAAUUACUGGGUGUAAAGCGCGUGUAGGCGGGAGGCCAAGUCUGUGGUGAAAUCGCUCGGCUUAACUGGGCGGGGUCCAUGGAAACUGGUCACCUGGAGGUCGGUAGAGGCAAGUGGAAUUCCCGGUGUAGUGGUGAAAUGCGUAGAGAUCGGGAGGAACACCAGUGGCGAAGGCGGCUUGCUGGGCCGGACCUGACGCUGAGACGCGAAGGCGUGGGGAGCGAACGGG